rnacentral:rRNA from 1 species
AUUGAACGCUGGCGGCAUGCUUUACACAUGCAAGUCGAACGGCAGCGCGGGGCAACCUGGCGGCGAGUGGCGAACGGGUGAGUAAUAUAUCGGAACGUACCCAGAAGUGGGGGAUAACGUAGCGAAAGUUACGCUAAUACCGCAUACGAUCUACGGAUGAAAGCAGGGGACCGCAAGGCCUUAUGCUUUUGGAGCGGCCGAUAUCUGAUUAGCUAGUUGGUGAGGUAAAGGCUCACCAAGGCGACGAUCAGUAGCUGGUCUGAGAGGACGACCAGCCACACUGGAACUGAGACACGGUCCAGACUCCUACGGGAGGCAGCAGUGGGGAAUUUUGGACAAUGGGCGCAAGCCUGAUCCAGCAAUGCCGCGUGAGUGAAGAAGGCCUUCGGGUUGUAAAGCUCUUUUGUCAGGGAAGAAACGGUAGAGGCUAAUAUCCUUUGCUAAUGACGGUACCUGAAGAAUAAGCACCGGCUAACUACGUG